GAAAAUUUUAGUAAAUUAUAGUCAAUUUUUAUGCAAUGAAACUAUAUAGCUCUUUUUGUUAGAAAUUGUCUUACUAACUAAGCUGCUGGUGGUUCUGUGACGAAGUAGCUCCUGUUGGCUUCCCUUACACCGGGUCAGACACAGGACAUUAAUUAAGGCUGUGUGUGGUGUUUCUGAAAGGUGAGGAGACUGGGCAUUCUGUCUUUUACUCUACAGAUACAUCGUGGGAGACUCAAAGAUUAAAAUGUGGCCACUCACUGUGGAUCAGAAGCAGAAUCUCACAUCAUAACCCCAAAUGACCUGUUACUCACCAUGUGGCCCAGCUGUCUUCAAACUCACCAGCCUCCUGCCUUAGCCUUCUAAAUGCUUGGAUUACAGGCAUGACCCACCAUAACUGGCUUUGUUUUAGUUUCAGAGAAGAUGAAACUGAUGUGCGUCAAAAAGUUAUGGAGGCUGGGAAGACCUAGAAUGUGGCAUCACUAUUUGGUUAUUUAGAAAAUUGUUACCUCAAAAAUGACCUAGGGGUCCUUAGAAUAAUAACACACAGAAGAAUAGCCUCAUUUUUCUGUUGGGCCCAGGAAACCAUGCCGAUUACCGACCGAGCUCUCAAUGGAAAAAUGCAGUCGGCGUGAACCACGCACGAACACAGCAGAGAAAGAAGAAAACACACACCACGAGGAACCCUAAUAGGACAAUACAUUAUAAGUCACAGUGCUACGGAGAAACCCAGUAGCCACAUGGAAGCAGAGACCAUGCAUAUGCAUCUACUCCGCAGCUCUGUGAAUGUCAGCAGCUCCCACGGACUGGAGAUCCCGUGAGAUCCCGUGAGAUCUCACCCAUAGCCUCAUGGUACAUCCACUUGGUGUGCUGGGAGAGUCAGGAUGAGGACCUGAGAAGAACAGCAGCUUGAACCUGACUUCAUUUAACAGCCCACUGCCCUCUUGCCAAGAACCCAUCACAGACCUUCCCAGAAGAGAGGGAUGAGCCUCACCUAUGAAUAAGUCCUCAGAAACUCAAAUUUGAUUCUAAUGGAUUGUUUUCUCAGAAAGACUGAGCAUGUCCCCCCACAUCUCUGUCAUUUCCCACAGUAGUAACCUCUGCAGAUGCCACAUAGAAAACAAAACAAAACAAAAAAACAUGAGGUUGGUGGGCAGAUAGGCAGGGUAUAAACAAACAGCCUUGUAACCCAGAAGCUGUGUGAUAUACAGUAAACUUCACAACACUGAAAAGAUGUCCUAUCUGUUAAAAUGGGGUAAUAACAACUACCCGAAUGUUUAGGAAUAGAACUUCAAUAAAUGAUACAUUUUAUAGUACAGCAGACCAUCCUGUAAAGGUUUCAUCCUUCACUGUGGUGAUAAAUAUCCCAAACCACAUUGAAAAGCAUUGCAUCUACAUUUAUCUACACUGUAACUGUACUGUAAAUCAUGGGGGAGGGGAGAAUCAUAAAAACACCACCUGUCACCGUGUCAUUAAAGCAAGUUGGAAGUGAUACUUACAGAAACACAGCAAGAGCACCCCCAGUCACACAGUUCAAUCUCUUAGCAAGCGUUUUCUUUCUAGCCCAGUGGUUCUCAGUUUGGAAUUUUUGGCACUGCCUAGAGAUAGUUUUGUUGUUAAAACUGAGAAAAGAGCCGGGCGUGGUGGCACACGCCUUUAAUCCCAGCACUCAGGAGGCAGAGGCAGG
rnacentral:lncRNA from 1 species